rnacentral:rRNA from 1 species
CAUUUAGUGGGGGACAACAUUCCGAAAGGAAUGCUAAUACCGCAUACGUCCUACGGGAGAAAGCAGGGGAUCUUCGGACCUUGCGCUAAAUGAUGAGCCUAAGUCGGAUUAGCUAGUUGGUGGGGUAAAGGCCUACCAAGGCGACGAUCUGUAGCGGGUCUGAGAGGAUGAUCCGCCACACUGGGACUGAGACACGGCCCAGACUCCUACGGGAGGCAGCAGUGGGGAAUAUUGGACAAUGGGCGCAAGCCUGAUCCAGCCAUGCCGCGUGUGUGAAGAAGGCCUUUUGGUUGUAAAGCACUUUAAGCGAGGAGGAGGCUCUCUUAGUUAAUACCUAAGAUGAGUGGACGUUACUCGCAGAAUAAGCACCGGCUAACUCUGUGCCAGCAGCCGCGGUAAU